GCAGUCGAGCGAGACCUUCGGGUCUAGCGGCGGACGGGUGAGUAACGCGUGGGAACGUGCCCUUUGCUACGGAAUAGUCCCGGGAAACUGGGUUUAAUACCGUAUGUGCCCUUCGGGGGAAAGAUUUAUCGGCAAAGGAUCGGCCCGCGUUGGAUUAGGUAGUUGGUGGGGUAAUGGCCUACCAAGCCGACGAUCCAUAGCUGGUUUGAGAGGAUGAUCAGCCACACUGGGACUGAGACACGGCCCAGACUCCUACGGGAGGCAGCAGUGGGGAAUCUUAGACAAUGGGGGCAACCCUGAUCUAGCCAUGCCGCGUGAGUGAUGAAGGCCUUAGGGUUGUAAAGCUCUUUCAGCUGGGAAGAUAAUGACGGUACCAGCAGAAGAAGCCCCGGCUAACUCCGUGCCAGCAGCCGCGGUAAUACGGAGGGGGCUAGCGUUGUUCGGAAUUACUGGGCGUAAAGCGCACGUAGGCGGACUGGAAAGUUGGGGGUGAAAUCCCGG
rnacentral:rRNA from 1 species